rnacentral:rRNA from 1 species
AUUGAACGCUGGCGGAAUGCCUAACACAUGCAAGUCGAGCGAGGUGUAGCAAUACAUCUAGCGGCGGACGGGUGAGGAACACAUAGGAAUCUACCUUUUAGUGGGGGAUAACCCGGGGAAACGUCGGAUUAAUACCGCAUACGAUCUACGGAUGAAAGUGGGGGACCGGCAAGGCCUCACGCUGUUAGAUGAGCCUAUGUCCGAUUAGCUAGUUGGUAGGGUAAUGGCCUACCAAGGCGACGAUCGGUAGCUGGUUUGUAGAGAACGAUCAGCCACACUGGAACUGAGACACGGUCCAGACUCCUACGGGAGGCAGCAGUGGGGAAUAUUGGACAAUGGGCGCAAGCCUGAUCCAGCAAUUCCGCGUGGGUGAAGAAGGCCUCGGUGUAAG